ACGUCUGAAACGAGAGGGAGGGUUAGCAGAGCUGUAGAGCUGGUGCCGGGGCCGCUGUGCAAAUGGACAUUUCACGUUUAUAGAGCACCUUUCACCCGCCACUGAAAUGCAGCCACCGCUGGGGUGGAACCCAGCACCUGAUUAAUACCACAACAGUCUACGGCAGGAAAUGACGAGAAAUCUUGUAUCCAGCAAAGUGCAGGGUGAAUUUAGCGAGGCAGAACAGAGUUAUCCAGGCUGGACUUUGGCUGGGGUGAUAGGGUUAAUGUGCCCAGGGCCUCAGUUCUUCAUGUCACCAGAAAGAUGAUGGUGAUAAUACAGUGGUUUCCAUACACGGAUCUCAAGGUGCUUUACAAAGGAGGGCAGUAUAGUUAACCCCAUUUCUCAGAUGGGGAAACUGAGACACCGAGCUCGCCCAGCAAAGCAGUGGAGAAGCGCCUGUUAGUGCCACAUUGACACCACUUCCUGCAGCACUAUAGCUGCCAAGUUCGAGUCUCUGAUUCAUUCUCUCUCCACCCCACAGCCCUUUAAGGAGCGGAAAAAGAUGGGGAGGUACAAGCUGAUCCCUCCUCCCCUUAGAUCAGUGGGAGUAAGAGUGAGUGGAAAGAGGAGCAGGGAAUCUGUUGCCCAGAAGCAGGUGGCGGGAGACCCCACUUGGCAGGUUUCCAGCAACUCUGGACAACGCAAUCGCCUUCCUUUAUAAACCCUGUGAGGUUCCUACCCAAGCUAUUACAAUAUCUGAAACUGUUCCAACCCCGUCUAUCACAAAGGGAUCCCCAGGCAUUACACCACUAAAGGGCCCCACCCUCUGGGGCGGGGUGCAGCAGCUGUUUGACAGCUGCCUAGCUGCACUGCACGAGAGUUUACGGUAGGAAGUGAAAAGGAAUGCUGCAUCCAACUGAAAUUACAAGUCAGAUUUCAGGGAAGCAGAAUGUAAACGGCCCACCCGGACACUUGGCCAAGACGUUGGGGUGAAUGAAAUGGAAGUUGCAAUGGCCAGAAGUAGCCCUGCCCAUGGGUUUCUGAAGGAAGAGCUCAGUAUUCUGACUCGCCUGUAUCUUACAGUGAAAUCUGCUGCAUUGAAUCAGAAUUGUUUGCGACGGGAAUGAAUUGGUGCCUGUUCUCCCAUGUUCCAGCCUUGUCUCCCAGGCAUCUCCCUCCCCCAAAACUCGGCUCCUGGGCUCCUAUUUCACUCAAAUCCAAGACACAAACCAAAUAUCUGCUUUCAAGAGGUCCAAGAAUUUCGGUGCCUGUGGCAGGGACUAGCCUAGGUGGGUAAGGAAUGAGGGCAAAACGGGGAUCCCUGAUGUAAUGUUACUGGCUUCAGCAGAAGGAAGUGGUCCGUGGUGUCCUAAUGCAACGGGAUGGGGAUGCUGGGUGGUUCCAGCUCUGCUCUCUGGAAGGAGCAGGGAGGGCAGAGGCAACCAUUCUUGGAUCUCCCUGGGGAACCUCUCCAUGACCUACUUUAAGAGCUGUAGCUGCUGUCCCAAACACUAGCACCUGAGGGACUCUCUGAAUCUUGACUCUCUGGUCGGGACUGGCGUGAUGAGAGGAGAGGAACGGCAGCUGCUCAAUCACCACCUUUUGCUGCGGGAGGAGGAGGUGCUGAGGAAGCAUUCGGACCAGUUCCACCCACUGCUCCGAAGUGGAUUCUAGCGAGUGGAGGUAGUGGAGCCUGUGCUCUUGGCUGGCUAGACAGCAGCUGGCCAGCGGAUGCGUCCCGCUACUACACUCUAAGGAGAGAGGAUGCUGCACUGCCUGCGGCUGCUGCUGCUCACCGUUCCUAGCCGGACCAGGGAACUCACUGCCUGCGCUCUAAACAAUAAACAGAAACACUGAGGAAAUCGGAGCUUGCGUUGCGACCACGAGCUGUUCGACUGCUUCCCUGCUCAUGGGGGAAGCUCCUGCUCAGAGUUAAACCCAGCUGCUACUUAAUGCAGCACCUUGUACCACAAAAGUACUCUGCAUUUACGUGGCGUCUUCCAUCUGAGGACCUGACUGUGCUGAAUAACGGCAGAUCCCUCCUGGGAGCUCCUGGCUCUGCCAACCCCACCACCCGCAGCCGUGUGCUGUUCUGAGGGGUGACUUUGCUAGCUGCCAGAUCUGGAUGGUGCUUUGUGGAACAGAUGAAAAGCAUGCAGGUUAAGACAGGAACAACAGGAAGUGACAGCAACCCAGGAAAUUCCAGGACCAACCUUUCAUCGGCCGGGCCCCUGAGAGUCCUUGGCACAGUGGGGACCUUCCAGAGAGCCCCAGGUUUGGUCCUGAUGGAAGCUACGUCACUUUACUCACACACAAGGCACCCCCAAUGAUUCUGAUGCAGUUUCCAAAGCCUGAGGACCUCCUUCGACUGAUCUGCCUGAACUCCCACGGACUUCACUCCUCCAAUUUAGAUGGGUAUUUCUAAUGUGCCUAAAACUGCAACAGCCAUUGAUCCGACCGCACUGUAAGUUUACAAAGCAUGUUGGGACCUGAGUUAAGCCGCACAGCUACCCUGCAAGGUAGGCAACUAUAAGUAUUAUUACCUCUGCUGUUCAGAUGGGGAAAUGAACGUCAAAGGUAUUAAGAUGCCUAACUCCCAUUCAGAUCCAGGUGCCUACAUAACUUUUGCAAAGGAAAACCAUCUCUUUGCGCCGUCUGCAAACAUACUGAUGCCCAUUUCAAUUAGAUUAAGUGGGAGAUGAAUGCAGAAAGAAAUCAGCCCCUACACAAGUUUCUAGGUGGUGAGAUCUUUGCUCAGCUGUGCAUCAAGCCACCCCCACCCCUCCUCCUUCACCUAAAGGCCAGAUGGUAGGUAAACCUUUCAUUAUUAUUGCUUUCCUUCUCUCUCUCUCUCGCUCCCUUUUUAAAGGCAGCAGAGCGUGGGUUCCUGGGAUUACAAGGCAUUUUGUGUUAUUAGAACUGUUUCCACUGCUACACUGGUGGGGAGAGAGAGAGGCUUGUCUGAUUGCACCAGGGUCAGUGUUAUUGACUAUGGACCAGAUCCCGCCAGGUGCUAGAGGGCAGCAGUCAGUGGCCGCUGCAGAGGCUCAGCACCUCUUGGCAACUUCUCUCCCGAUGGAGUUGAGCACCUCCUAGGUAGGGUCCCCCUCUGGGUACGGCGCUGUUCACUUUGCUUAUAGGCGCUGGAGAAAGCUGCGCCUGGAGUGCCCUAAUGGUGUCCCAGGAGCAAGAAGUGAUGCCCGAGAGAGGCAUGCUCACUUCCUUCACAGUGCAGCAAAGCAGGGAACUGGAUGAUUGCUCUCCCAAGACCAGCUUCAGGGGCUUUAAUCGCCACAGCUCUGAGCUGGCCCAGUAGGAAAUGAUUUCUGGAAGAGUGAAGGAGACCGAUAUCUUCUAACUAACUACACCUCUACCCCGAUAUAACGCUGUCCUGGGGAGCCAAAAAAUCUUACCGCGUUAUAGGUGAAACCAUGUUAUAUUGAACAUGCUUUGAUCCACUGGAGCGCGCAGCCCCGCCCCCCCGGAGUGCUGCUUUACCGUGUUGUACCCGAAUUCGUGUUAUAUCGGGUUGCGUUAUAUCAGGGUAGAGGUGUAGGUGGCUAUGCAUCACCCCUCACACACCCCCUCUAGCCAGCCAGGUACUCGAUAUUGGGGCCUGAUUUUCAGAGGUGCUGACACCCACAGUUCCAGCUGAAGUCAAUGGAGCUGCAUCAGUCUACACUUGGUGAGGAUCUUAGCCUUUAGGCCAGGGAACUAGAAGGAAUAAGACUCGUGUCAGAUCUCUGGCCUGCAUCACUCCAGGACGCGAACAGAAGGGUCAGUCUAUUAUGACAGGGUCUGCACGGUGGAAAAUCUGCCUUAGCUCACACUCCCCUUUGAGAAUUACAAUGAAUUUUCUCUGAAUAAAAUCCGAGCCAGAUUUAAAACCUAGCGUCUGCAGAUAGCCCUUAAUGGAACUGAACUGGAGGGGAGGGAAGUGUUGGGGGAAGUCUGCCAAAAAGAUAAACUCCAGCUUUGGUUAUAGGUGGAUGUCUUAAGACCUUACAGGGAGUGGCUUGGUAGCUAGAAACCCAGCACCUUCUCCAAUUAAACUUUCCACUGCUAGGAAAAUACAAUCUUGUUAAAACUCCCAACCGAAACAUGAAUCAAAAGGCUCAAGAGAUUUCUCAACAGCUUAGGUGGAGCCUGAUUAUUAUCUCAGGCUAUCCAGUUUCUUUGGAUGAUAUUUCAUGCAACUCUGCAACACACGACUGAAGUCAGCGAGAAUAUUAUCCGGCUGUUUUCCUUGCCUGCCCUCAGCUAUUUAGUAACAAUCUUCCUUUCUAUAGGAAACCGACUGCUCCUGAUCUGGGGAUGUUUAGAUCUAGAAGGGAUGGUUGGUUGGUUCUGAUUCAGAGUUAACUGGAAAUGUUCCGCCUAUUAACCCAUCUCUUUCUACUGCUUAUUCAGACCCUGGCCUGAAUCACAAGAACGUGCUACAGUAAGGGUUUCUUAGCAUGAUCUCACGGGACAAAGGGCCUUCACACACCUGCCUUCUGAGACAGAAACUAGAAUAUAACCCAGUACAAAUUGUGGUAUUUAUGGAUGGAGUUCAGUUCUUAAUGCAUCUUAACAAACUUGCAAGCACUCAAGCGGUUCUACUUACUCACCAUUCAUCUACUCCAGUGAUGACUUAAAGGAUUGGGAAACCUGCCUUACAGUGAUAGACUCAAGGAGCUCAAUCUAACCAAGAAAAGGCUAAGGGGUGACUUGAUCACAGCCUGCAAGUACCUGCAUGGGAAACAAAACUUUGAUAAUGGGCUCUUCAAUCUGGCAGCCACAGGUCUAAGAAGCUCAGAUGGCUGGAAGCUAGACAAAUUCAGCCUAGACGUAAGGCGUACAUUUUUAACAGUUAGGGUAAUUAACCACUGGAAAAAUUUAACAAGAGCUGUGCUGGAUUCUCCAUCACUAGCAAUUUUUAAAUCAAGACUAGAUGUUUUUCUAAAAGAUCUGCUCUCGUACACACAGGAAUUAAUUCAGGGAAGUCCUAUGGCCUGUGUUAUACAGGAGGUCAAACCAGAGGAUCACAACAGUCUCUACUGGCUUUAUAAUCUAUGAAACCUGGAUAGAUUGGCUCUAGACCAAUAAAUAAUGUGGCUACAACAGUGCAUAGCCAUCGUAAUAGACAGGUUCUACAGUGACUAACCUACGUUUUUAUGACUUCUUGUUUCUGUUAGACCUGCAGAGGAAACCCAGUCCUGGGAGAAUGAGCUGGAUUCUAUUCUAACUUGUACAUCACCAACGGAAUACACUAAAUUCCAAAUUCAAAUCUGAAUUGAUGAUGCGUAAGCUGGAAAGAACCUGGCUUGACUCCCUGACCUCAGGGGGAGUUUGCGGUCUGGUAGCAUUACAUUAUUAUCUUUUCACUUGAAAAGCGAGUAAAUCUGUAUCCGGAGUUGUCGAGAGGUGAUAAAGGAGGAGCCUCGCGUAGACAUUCUCAAUAGCAGCAGUACAUUGGAAUAAGUCCAUCUCUUGCUGAAAGUCUCUUGAUGUAUGGUUAGUUCUCAGUGGAGAGUCAGCUCUCCAGAUCACUGUAUAAAGGUGCCUCUGUUUACCUGAGCCUGUUCCACAGCUUGGAUUUAUUUUAAAGUGCGUGUUCUAUUCUGAAGAGUGAUCAUUGCUCCUUCUUACCUCUCAGACAUUCGCCCUGGCAGGAUCUACCUGUAGAGGCAACAGUCAGAUUUGGCUGCUUCUCACUCUGAUUAGCCCUGUGGAGCCAAGAGAGCUCUGGGAGAGCAAGGUAGAGUCUCAGAGAAUUACUGAUUCAAUUCUGAGGGGGUUACAAAGGCAAUGGGGCUGCACAGCUGUUCCUGGGGACAGAGAUUCCCUGCAGAGCCAUAUUACUGGUACUGACCCAGAGGACAGCAAGAGGCCAGUGUGACAGGGAAGAUCAGGCAGAGAGGAAGGAUGGUUCCAGUAGUUCAGGCACUGGCAUGGGAUUUGGGAGACCCAGUUCAGUUCCCUGCUCUGCCCACAAACUCCCUGUGUGAACUUCACCAGCUCACUUAGUCUCUCUGGGCCUCAGUUAUUCAUCUGUAAAAUGGGGAUAAAAAUAUUUCCCUGCUGCCCACAGGGGGCCUGAGGGUAAAUACAACAGAGACUGUGAGGCGCUCAGAUACUGUGGUGAUCCAGGUUAUAGAAGGACUUAAAACAGAUAAGAAGGAGUUCAUGCCCAUCUAUUGCAGGCAGAGGUGAUCGAUAUUUGUUUCAAUUAUAUACAUGUACCCAGAGGCUGUGUCCAUAGACAGAUGAUAUAAACGUCUGGGCCUGAUCCUGUUCUCACUGAAGUCAAUGGUCUCCUGAGGGAGCAAGACUGGAAUAAACAUACAUAAUGUUCUGCUGAAAGGGGCUAGCAGUUAAUCUUGUAUCUAAAGACAAUCCCAGAUCUCACUAAAACUUAUGUUUGUGGCAAGCAUAGUUUUAGGCCCAAAAGAAGAAACAAUCAAGACCCUUUAGGUAGCAGAGACAGCUGCGAACAUGGAAGCUACCGCCCAAACCACUGGGUCACAUGGUAGGUCAGAGCUAAGUUGUAUGGGCCAAGUGGUUUUCAUGGUUGCAAACACAGGGACUAGGCUGUCGGUUGCUGCCUGUGUGUGUUGGAAGAAACAGCCAGGAGUGUGAGUGUGACCUUGAGGUGAGGCAGAGUGUCUUGGGCACAGAGCUCACCGGAGGCUCAGGCAUGGGAAUUUCUGAGGGAGGAAAUUGCCUGCUGCUGUUUGAUUCUAUGGUCAGAGAAAACAGCACUCUGGACAUUUUUUUGGAAAUAAACAAGAUAAACCAAGAAUAUACCUGGCUCCUAUAAUCAAUCCCUCAGCCUAAACAAUUCUGAAAGGCCCCUGACACUAACUAACCACUCAGGCUGAAGGAGCAACCAUAACAUGUGAGAAGCGAUGAGGUUUUCCCCCACCACUCUCCUCCCAGACUUACCGGACAC